GACAGAGGUGCCAAGCGUUUAGGCGGAAUUACUGGGCGUAAAGCGUGCGCAGGCGGUUAUGCAAGACAGAUGUGAAAUCCCCGGGCUCAACCUGGGAACUGCAUUUGUGACUGCAUGGCUAGAGUACGGGUAGAGGGGGGAUGGAAUUCCGCGUGUAGCAGUGAAAUGCGUAGAUAUGCGAAGGAACACCGAUGGCGAAGGCAAUCCCCUGGACCUGUACUGACGCUCAUGCACGAAAAGCGUGGGGG
rnacentral:rRNA from 1 species